UCACGGUAUCAAGCUUGGCUUGUUGUUGGGCUCUUUGUCACCUGGUGACAGGUCCGAAAGACAAUGACCGGUGGAACAGACUCCAUAUGCAACGAGCUUAUAACAGCACGCAUCUGGCAGUUGUGUGACCCGGUUUUAACCUAUAUUUUCCGUUCUUUCUCAA
rnacentral:misc_RNA from 1 species